AGCCGGUUUAAAUCUAAAAAUAUUCUUUUUCAGGUGAUCUACGUGACCCUGACGUUUUCAGUGCAUACUUACUGUGUCGUAAACGCUCUCUUGAUGGCUAACACUCGCGACACAAAAUGUCCACAAGAGCAAACAAACACCAGAACAAGAAUCCACCUUCCUGGUAGAGCAGCAUCAACCAGAUGGUAAGAAGAAUGAAUGUAAGCGACCAAAGGUUUUCUUCCAUGGAAAACAAACGGGAACGUCUCCGUCUGGGAUUGUCCCUGCUAUGUUGAACAGCUGUAUCAAGCAGCUUUGUUACCAUAGUAACACCUGAGAGGAGGGAGGAGCGGUUGCUAAGGAAGCUGUGGUUGCUAUGAAGCACCAUGGAGAUGCUGCUGAGCCGGCGUGCAGCAAAGAACUCAGCGGAUUCAGAUCCACAAACGCUCCGCCUCAAAUUUCUACUCAUGAUUGUAAAUCAAUGAACACAAAAUGAUGGCAGUUCGUUAGAGAUUACAGUUUGUAUUCUCACCCCGUGACCUCCUCCUGCUCCUCCUUCUGCUCCUGCUCCUCCUGAGGUUCUGGUAAUCUGUCCACACAGAACAUUCCUCAUGACUCAUCUCCUCACAGACGUCUCAGCGGUCAGUGCCGGACGUUCACACCAUGACCUACUCGGCCUCGGGCUCCUCCAGGAGUUCUUGACUCUCCAGUGAGAGUUUGAUGGAGGUUCCCUCGCUGGCCAUCUGCCUGACGGCCAUCUCAGCCGUCUGCCGCGCCACCUCCUCCGCCAGACGAGCCAUUUCUAUCCGCUCCUGCAGCAAACUGAAGGCAGAAAUGAGGAGGACUCUUUAGGAAUCUGUAAACACACUACAGGCUGGUCAGUUCCAGUCUUUAGGGAGUCAACAGGAUCAUCUCCAGCAGAACACGGACUGUGGUUGGAAUGAUCGAGAUGUUGAGUUACCUGAGGAACUUUAUUUGGUUUGAAUGUAAAAAAAUAUCGACGUGAAAUACUCAAUUAAAAUAGAAACUGAUCUAAAUGUCCUUCAUUUAAAUUCCAAAUAGAAACACUCGAGUAUUUUUUCCUGAGAAGUGUCCAAUGUUUGUUCAGUAAUAAAAAAACAUUGUCAUAAAUUAGGGUAAAACUUUAAACACAGAAUUGUAUUUUUCAAACAUUAUUAUGGCCAAAGUUAAUAUUGACUGAUCAAAAUGAUUGGAAAUAUAUGAAAAACAUGUUUAAAUUUCCAACAUUUUUACUUUCAUUGUAAAAUGAGUUUGAAGUUCCAGAAUUGAUUCAGUCAAACUUUGGUUUCAGAAAAUCCUUCAUGAUUUUAAUGUUUUUUAACUUUCCACCCGUCUUACCGCUCCUCCAUGGUUGCCAGGGCGACGUCCUCAGCCUCCUUCUUGAUGCUCUCGAUGAACGGCGUCCAGCGGCCCGUUUGGGUCUCCGCGUCCUCCUGGGAGCCUUUCUGCUCGCCGUCCGUCGGUGCUUCAGACUUCUGGGAGCUGGCGGCGGAGUUCAGCUGCGGUUGUGGCGCCUCUUCACGCUGCGGCGGUUUUAUGGAUGGACUCAGGGAUGCAGCUUUGGUCUGGUCCUCGUGUUUCUGCUGGACCUCGUUGUCAGACUCCAGGUCCUCUAAGACCAUGUCAGGGUUGAGCUUGGAUGAAGCUGGAGGUGGUGGAAGAACGAGCUGAGGCAGCUUCAGACCGAGUCCCGACACAAACCAGUCCACCACUCUGCAGACAGACAGUCUUCUCUGUAGUUUUCAUCAUUGUUGUUACUUCGAUUCAGGAUUAUCAAAUCACAUCAGGCACUCUGGUACUGGAUCAGGAUGACCUCCGAUCAGACCCGGUACCAGCCCAUAAGAUGACCACAGAACCGGGUCAGUUACAGGGAAACGGAAACCUUUCCAGAAUAAACUGAUCCGUUCUCCUUACAGUUCGUCAUCCUGAUAAUCCCUUUAGAGAAGGCCAGUGAGCCUGCAGGAUGCCCCGCAGCUUCCACCCCUGCAGAGGUCGGCCUGAGGCCCACGGGUCAGCGACUGAUGGACGUCAGAACCGUCUCGGUGUUUGCAGAGUUUGAUGUGUUCACGUCAGGAUUUUAUUCAGGACAGAAAUCAAGAAAAUCUCUUUUUUUUUUUUUUACACAUACUCUUCUCCUCACGUUACCUGUAAAGAAUGUCCUCAUAAAGCCUGAACCGUUUUUUAAAGGCGGGAUGACCCGUUUGUGACUCCUGACCAGCGUCUCAUGUCAGCAGAGAUCAGAGGGCCUCCUGGUGGCCUAAUCUCACCUUCGUGGGAUUGGAUUAAGUCCAGGACCUCUUCCCCUCCACUAAUCUUCAUUUCUUCUCAGUGCUUCCAUUUCUGAUGAUAUAUUUCAGUCCGAUUGAAACGAUCUAAUCAAAUCUUUUCAAGGCUUCAGUGAAGCUUCUCUCGUCGUUAGUCAUCAGACCUGAAGGUGACGGCGUCCUCAUCCACGUCUCCUUCAGCAAAACGACCCACCUGACCUUAAAUCAGCUGCAUGUGUUGGCAUGGAAGAGAAGUCUGCUCAGGUGUGUUCCUCUUACCUGUGU